CUGCACCCAGCCGACCAAAAGUUUUAAACUUUUUCAUUAAUGUAUUUUACUAAUCACUUAAAGGUGUAUUCUUUAUGAUAGCAUCCGAGACCAUAAGUGAAAAUCUACACAUGGUUAUCAGAAUAUUUCAAAGCUUUUGUUUAAAACAUUUUUCUGUUUUCCAGGGCUAAUGUCAAAAUUUGAUGUGACUCUGCAAGAAAAUGCUUACCAUCUGUGGUUGGUAUUUUUCUUCUGCUCCAGCCAUUAAUAUAUAUUUUUACAUACAAAAGUUGUUUCCAGUAAUAAAAAAUCUGUCUGAGAUCUGUCCUAAGCUCAUCCUCAGAGAUCCUUGAUUGUCUGUCUUGCUCCUGCCCAUGUUUUCCCCAGAACUGGACUCUCACCUGGAACCCAGCCCACGGCUUGGAUCCCACCACCCAGCUGCCACGCUUCUACAAUCUAGAGCGGCGUAAUACAUAUGGCUAGUGCGCACUUGAAACCUGG
rnacentral:lncRNA from 1 species